rnacentral:sRNA from 1 species
UAUUUGCGUUAGGGAUAGCAGCGGCAUCCUUUUGUGACACAGGUCUGGUCUUAAUUAACAAUACUUUUUCGGGAACAAAAGAUAUAGCGGAUAGCCCGACCCCUG